AUGCCAACAGGUGGCGCUGUUUUCUUCCCCAAUUACGCCUUUGUUUUCUCAUUGGCAUCCUGUUUGUUUUGGACUAGUCCCCUCGCCCGCUGGACAAGAGCCAGGGGGAGUUUUUAUGUGUGUGGGCUGGUUUUUCCACCAACAUCGCUUCUCAAAGCCUCCUCAGACAGAGCCAGAAACGAUAAGCUCGCAAUGACGACAGAGAAGCUGCUCUCUGCGUUUGUUGCCUCCGAGUAUGUGUUCUCUGACCUCCAGCUUUUUCAAGAUCUGCUCCGCAAGGACGUCUUCAACCCCCGUCGUCUCGGUGGAUUAGAGCAGGGGAUGUUGGUCUUGGGCUGAGUACUUAAGGAAAUCUUGCAAGAAGAAUAGGGAGAUUCAGCAGCCUGAAUGAGCCCAUAGUAUGAAGAGUGUCCACACACUAUGUACUUUUCUAAAAGUCAGGUAUGUAUCUUACUCUUAGAUUCAUCUUUGAGAAUUUGAUGUCUUGUAUUGAUUUGAUAUCUUUGAAUUGGCUAUGUCAGCGAUUCACAGUGCAAAGUUGAUGUAUUUCCUCAGCGCCCAGCACGGAUCAGCUCUAGGCAUGAUGAAGCAGAUAUCGUCCUCUUUUGGAAGGCCAAACAAAGUAGUUUCGCUUUCACAGUGAAACACACAGCGUCUAUAUGACAUGGCGGUGGUGGUAACAAAAAUACUACAACAAGAAUAAAAGGUACGCCUUCUUUCAUUGCGUGAACAUCUGGGCGGCAUUAUGCAAAUCUCCCCACAUAGAGACAUAGAGAUGUGGGGGCGUGUUUAAACAAGGCAUUUUAGGAGGGCGUGGACGAGUCACAACUUUUAUAAAGAAUAUCUCUUUGUAUUUGAGACUUUAGUCUUUGCAACUUUCCAGAUCUUUUUUACUCACCAAGAGCUUGUAACACUCCAAAGAGAAAGGAAAAAUUGAAAUUACAUCAUAUGACCCCCUUUAAGAUACUAAUACGCACCCUUUAGGGGAGUCCUUUUGAGCGUACUGCCUCGUACUACAAGCUAUUGUACCCCAAAGUUAUCAUUUUUGCUAAUUUUUUUUCUAUCAUGGUUGUCAUAAACUGUUUGGGAUACCAACAUUCUUCAAUAUAUCUUCUUUUGUGCUUAACAGAAUAAUAAAAAAAAACUCAUAGAGGUUUGGAACGUCUUGAGCGCGAAUAAAUGAUGACAGAAUUUUCAUUUUUGGGUGAACUAUCCCUUUAAAGUCACAACAAAAUAUAAGCAGCAACUGAUCUUUUCUUUUAUAUUGUGACGUCCAUCUGAGUAUAAACUUCAAAUUCUUCAUGACCUCUGCUUAUGUUGGUGAUGCUGCAGGGAACAUUAUGAAAUAAUGUGCAUAUAUAUAUAACUAUAUUAGCAUUUUCAGUAAAAAAAAAAAAAUGGUUCCAAAAAUAUAAAAUAAGAGUGGACCCAAACAACUUCCUUGUGAGACAUCACAAACAUGUACUAUUCAAUAUACCAGAUGGUCCAAAUAUACACUCUUUUGGAACUUUCAUCUCUUUAUUAGAGUAUGGCGAGCUGUGUGUGUGUGUGUGUGUGUGUGUGUGUUUAUCUAUUAGCCAGCGUUUGCAGUGCCAAAGUGCUCAUUUGAUAUGUGACCUGCCACUAAAGAGUCAGGAUAUUUAUCAUCUGCUGAAUUGCCUUUGUGUGGUGCUGCAAAAUGGCAGCAAUACAUUCUCAAAUGAAACCGCUUGAAGGUUAAUGAGUGGCAAUUGCCCAGUGAGGACUAAAUCUAUUAGCGUUUCAUAGAGGAAAUCAAUCAACAUGACCAACUCUCACUGAUUUGUCAUUUUGAAACAUUGCCCGUUUGAAUUGAACAGCACAUUCUGUUACAUGGGAUCAUCUGUGAUGGUUUGAUUUGCUCUUCAUUAAGGUGAUUAAUGCUCUUUAUUCUGAUUCUGGAUCAGUAAACAAGCUCUUUCAUCCCGUGGUGCUGUGCUGUAUUAGGUCACCCCAGACAGUGAUAAUGACUCCAGAUGAUUACAGUCCAGAACUUCAGCUCCUCGCUUGACGUCUGUCAAAGCAAGACGAUGAAGUCUACAAGCAGAUUAACCCCAAUGCUGGACCUUCUACCUCCAUCACUGGCAAGUAUCCAAAGUGUUUAUUUAAAGCCCCCCCCCCCCAUUCACUCUGGACCAGGCACGGCGCAAGAGUUUUUUCUCUACCGGUGCUAAGGGGGGGUUAGACCAAUAUGUUGGGGGGGGCUAAGAAAAUAAAUAAUAUUGAUGACGUCAAAGUUACUUCAUAAAGAAAUGGGGCUAAACCGGGGCUAUUAAAAAUUCUGAUGGGGAUAUAGCCCCCCCUCCCAGCCCCGGUGUAGCGCUGUCACUGCUCUGGAAGCAAAACCUCAGUUAAUGGAGCAAACCAACCUCCACAUCCAAGAUGGCACAACCUGGGUAAAACACCCCACCCCUAAUGAAAACACAAUAUGUCAGAGGAACUUUGUGAACACAUUUGGUCUAUCCGCUUCAGUUCAAACCACUGAGCCCUCAUGCACAAACACAGAGAAAAUGUGGCGGGAGAGUUGAGGGAUGGCAGAGGAGGGAGAUUCUGCAGAUUGUGUAAUGAUGAAGAGCUCUGUGCAGGGUUCUCAUUUGCUGGAAAUCUCCUGUUAUCAUAUGUGCUCAGACUGCACCUCCCUCUCAGUCUUAUACGCUGCGUGUAUUAUUGAUUGAUGCGCUGUGUAGCUAGGGUUUCAUUUGCCCCGUGGGCUCUUGAGAGUAUGUACGUCCAGACGUACACUCAAUCAACGACUCGAAGCACAGAUGGAUGCUGCCUUACAAGAUUCCCUCUCUCUGUUUUGUGCUGGUCUUAUCUGUCUUUUUUUUUUGGAA
ensembl:lncRNA